GAAUGACUAUUGCCUAGACAAUAUCGGGGCACCAUUGACUCAUGACCUGUUUGGUGAAAAAAGUUAUUAGGGCAGGCUGGGAGAGCCUUGUCUUUGUGUUUGAGUGUACAUUCGUAAGGAUAAGGCCCAGACCAUGCUAGGUUGAGAGGCUGCAGUACCCUGAGGAAAACCUGAAUCUUCCAGAGAAGCAGCAUCCAUCUGCCCCUCCUCAACCUCCACGAUGUCCACAUGCCUCCUGAGAACUGAAGCUCUCUGGCGAAGUUGCAUCCCAUGUUAAAGAUCCUCUGUUGAAGCCAAGCAUGCACAGAGGGACACAGAGUAAAUUAUUAACUUGAGUAGAAACAGUAAAUGAAGUGGGAGGCCCAUCUGAUCAGUGCUCAAUACGUUUUGGCUGACAGAACUUCAGAGCAGAGGAAUGAGAAUAGAACUUGGGGAACUCACACAGGCCUGGCCAGUACCCAUCCUCAGCUAUGGCUCCAGCUCUAACGAAGCUAGGUCACACACCCAGGAGAAGGUGGUCACAGUGUCUUAUGUGAAGAAAUAAGGAACAAGAAGGACAUAGAUGGAGAUGUCUCAGCUUUGGAGACAAAAGCCCCGGUCGGUGAGUGGAGC
rnacentral:lncRNA from 1 species